CACGUAGUUAGCCGGAGCUUCCUCCCCAGGUACCGUCAUUUUCGUCCCUGGGGACAGUGGUUUACAAUCCAGAAGACCGUCUUCCCACACGCGGCGUCGCUGCAUCAGGGUUUCCCCCAUUGUGCAAUAUUCCCCACUGCUGCCUCCCGUAGGAGUUUGGGCCGUGUCUCAGUCCCAAUGUGGCCGUUCACCCUCUCAGGCCGGCUACUGAUCGUCGCCUUGGUGAGCCAUUACCCCACCAACAAGCUAAUCAGACGCGGAACCAUCGUAUACCACCAGAGUUUUUCACACCACUUCAUGCGAAGCUGUGCGCUUAUGCGGUAUUAGCACCUAUUUCUAAGUGUUAUCCCCCAGUAUACGGCAGGUUUUCCACGCGUUACUCACCCGUCCGCCACUAACUCAUAAAUCACUAGGUUUCAAUAUGAGUCCGUUCGACUUGCAUGUGUUAAGCACGCCGCCAGCGUUCAUCCUGAGCCAGGAUCAAACUCU
rnacentral:rRNA from 1 species